rnacentral:rRNA from 1 species
GACGAAGGGGGCUAGCGUUGUUCGGAAUCACUGGGCGUAAAGCGCACGUAGGCGGAUCUUUAAGUCAGGGGUGAAAUCCCGAGGCUCAACCUCGGAACUGCCUUUGAUACUGGAGGUCUCGAGUCCGGGAGAAGUGAGUGGAACUGCGAGUGUAGAGGUGAAAUUCGUAGAUAUUCGCAAGAACACCAGUGGCGAAGGUGGCUCACUGGCCCGGAACUGACGCUGAGGUGCGAAAGCGUGGGGAGCAAACAGG